rnacentral:rRNA from 1 species
UNUGACUUGAGUGCAGAAGGGGAGAGUGGAAUUCCAUGUGUAGCGGUGAAAUGCGUAGAUAUAUGGAGGAACACCAGUGGCGAAAGCGGCUCUCUGGUCUGUCACUGACGCUGAGGCUCGAAAGCGUGGGUAGCGANCAGGAUUAGAUACCCUGGUAGUCCACGCCGUAAACGAUGAGUGCUAGGUGUUAGGCCCUUUCCGGGGCUUAGUGCCGGAGCUAACGCAAUAAGCACUCCGCCUGGGGAGUACGACCGCAAGGUUGAAACUCAAAGGAAUUGACGGGGGCCCGCACAAGCGGUGGAGCAUGUGGUUUAAUUCGAAGCAACGCGAAGAACCUUACCAGGUCUUGACAUCCCGAUGCUAUUCUUAGAGAUAGGAAGUUACUUCGGUACAUCGGAGACAGGUGGUGCAUGGUUGUCGUCAGCUCGUGUCGUGAGAUGUUGGGUUAAGUCCCGCAACGAGCGCAACCUUUAUUGUUAGUUGCCAUCAUUAAGUUGGGCACUCUAGCGAGACUGCCGGUAAUAAACCGGAGGAAGGUGGGGAUGACGUCAAAUCAUCAUGCCCCUUAUGACCUGGGCUACACACGUGCUACAAUGGUCGGUACAACGAGUUGCGAGCCGGUGACGGCAAGCUAAUCUCUGAAAGCCGAUCUCAGUUCGGAUUGGAGGCUGCAACUCGCCUCCAUGAAGUCGGAAUCGCUAGUAAUCGCGGAUCAGCACGCCGCGGUGAAUACGUUCCCGGGCCUUGUACACACCGCCCGUCACACCACGAGAGUUUGUAACACCCGAAGUCGGUGAGGUAACCUUUAGGGGCCAGNC